GCCCGGGUUGCUCAGUUGGUUGAGCAUCUGACUUCAGCUCAGAUCAUGAUCUCAUGGUCCGUGAGUUCGAGCCCCGCAUCGGGCU
rnacentral:tRNA from 1 species